rnacentral:rRNA from 1 species
AUGGAAAAAGAGAUGAUGGAUAACAGCAUAGAAGGCUGUAUCAGUUGCCUUUCUGAUGAUUGCUUGCUUUCUAUAUUUAACAAGCUUGAAAGUGAAUCGGACAAGAAUGCUUUUGGGUUAACGUGUAAGAAUUGGUUCAAGGUUCGAAACAUUGCUCGAAAAUCGCUAAUAUUUCAUUUCUCAUUUAAUGCUAAAGAAUAUAAGGAGCAUGCCCAGUGCCUUCCAAAGAUGUUGGCCCGUUCUCCAUAUCUUAAGUUGAUAUCCCUUGCGGGGCUUAGUGAGCUAUCUGAUUCAGCUCUUUAUGAAGUGGGAGUUUCUGGAACAUCUUUGCAGUCCUUCUCAUUGUACUCCUGUUCUGGUAUAACAGAUGAUGGUCUAGCACAAGUGUCAAUCGGAUGUCCUAAUUUGGUUAUAGUUGAACUUUACCGCUGCUUAAAUAUCACCGAUCUUGGUUUGGAAAGUCUUUCCAAGGGCUGUCAUUCUUUGAAGAGUCUUAACCUUGGUUACUGCACAGUUAUUUCAGAUCGAGGGAUUAGUUCAAUCUUUAGGAAUUGCCGAAACAUUUGUGCACUUAUCAUAUCAUAUUGCAGAGGUGUAUCUGGUGUUGGAUUUAGAGGUUGCCCAAGUACACUUUCUUACCUAGAAGCCGAGUCCUGCAUGCUUUCUCCAGAGGGAAUGCUAGACAUAUCGAGUGGUGGUGGACUCCAGUACAUAAAUUUGUAUAAUCUAAGGAGUUCAGUUGGGCUGGAUUGCCUAGGUGGAGUUGGCAGUAUGAAGAAACUCCGAGUUCUGAAUCUGAGGAUGUGCCGCUAUCUUACUGAUGAUUCUGUGGUGGCAAUAGCUAGCGGGUGUCCGUUGAUUGAGGAGUGGAGCCUUGCUGUCUGUCAUGGCGUCCGCUUACCUGGUUGGUCGGCGAUUGGAUUGAACUGCAACAAGCUAAGAAUUCUUCAUGUGAACCGUUGUCGAAACAUAUGCGACCAAGGACUGCAGGCUCUCAAGGACGGAUGUGUGCGCCUUGAGGUCCUGCAUAUACAUGGCUGUAGCAAGAUUACAAAUAAUGGCCUGGCACUGUUCAGCAUUGCUAGGCCUAGUGUGAAGCAAAUGGUGGACGAAGCCAUGUCCAUUGGUCCGUCCAUCGAGGAUUUAUUCCGGUUGCAGUGA